rnacentral:miRNA from 1 species
UCCAUUACAUACAUAUGUACCUCUGUGUGUGCGUGUGUGUGUGUGUGUGUGUGUGUGUGUAUACACACACACACACCUAGAC